UUACGACAGAAACCAGAAAGAAAAAGAGAGGAAGAGAGAGAGAAAGAGAAAGAAAGAAAGAAAGAAAGAAAGGGAGAUCCGUUCAAACCGUCGACAUUUUGGAGAAACCUCAAGUUCUAGUUGUUUUCUGAACUUGGUGUAGUUGAGAAAAAUGCUAGGGGGAUUGAGAUGAAGCUGCUGCCAAAAUUUGGUGACCAUCGGAGAAGUUGACCGCCGAGUAAACAGUACCUCGCGUGAACAGUGCGGUGCGUGAACAGUGGACGACGUACCGAGCGAUUGCUCGACGAAGGAACUCAUAUGCGUGAUCAUCGGAAUAGUAUUUUUGCAGGCGAAUUAGUGAGGUCGGGCGUACACGGAGUUGAGGCAUAGUCAACAGCAUGGCUUCCGCGUUUGCCUUUGAGUUAGGUACAUCAGAGAAAAUGACAAGGAAAUGAGUUUAAAGACACAAGAGAAGGAUGUGAAAUGUUGGAGAUGACAAAGGCAAGGCACAUGGAUACAGAAAUGAGCUGAAAUGAAGAAAUGGAGUAUUCCUGGCCCGAUUAGGAAUCCCAGUCAAAGUAGGAAUCCUGAUGAGGCUAGGAAACCUGAGGGCACUAGGAGACCAUGUGGCUUCAAGAUGACUCAAAACUCAAGAUUAUUCUAGAAUACUUGGGAAUUUUCGGCAAAAUGAAGAACCCUAGACAUUAUAGGGGUUUUGGAGGUAAAAGGAGUAAUUUUUUUGGAUAAAUACAUGAUUUUUCGUGAAAAUAAAAGAAGAUUCAAGAAGGUGACAUUUUUGAAGUUAUCAUGGAGAGUUUUAAGGGAUUUACAAUAUUCAGAAAGGUUGAAAACGUAUCUAGAUACAUUCCUUGAGUUCCACACUCCAUCCUUGGCAGAAACUAAGAAAAUAAAUCAGAAAAUAAUCAUGCAUAAUGCAAAAAUAAUCUCCCUAGAAUCAAAGUGCUAAUUUGAAGGCUUCUUAUUGGUUGGAUGACACAUGAAGGAUGAUGUGGAAUUAUCUGAUUGGCUAAUGUUGUGUGGAUUAAUCAGAUAAAUCCUAGAAAAUAAAAAUAAAAAUUUUGAAGACUUGGAGACUAAAUUGCCAUCCUCCUAUAAAUAGGAGCAUCAUAGACACCACCUCACACACCACUUCACUAACGAAUUUUUUCAUUCUUUUCAACACCAAAAAUUCUCUCCAUUCUCUAGUCCUCAGAAGCUCUGCGUCUUUAACCAAGGAGGGGGAGAAGUCAUGCAAUACAUCAAGAUCCUAGCCGCCGUCCACCCUUGUGUCGUCCCUAGAAGAUUACUUGCUUUCAAGGAUCUUCAAGUUCUUCGUCUCAAAGCUUUGUCAUUUAUCUUUCACAGUGUAUUUCAUACUUUCUUUUGUUUUCAUUUGUUUGAUUCGUAGAGUUAUGAAUUCUAGUUAACAUGACGUUAAGGGCAAAGUUUAAAGCCCGUUUAUAUGUUU